AGACCUUCCUCCUUCCACAUCCACCUCCCCGCACCGCUCUGUCCCCCUCGCAGGCCAGCCCGUGGUCUCCCCCACCAUCCACCUCUUCCCGCUGUCCUUGGACAAGGUCCCAUUGCAGAGCAAAGCCACCCAGGUGUGUCUGCUGCAGGGCUUCUACCCCGGCGCCGUGCAGGUGGCCUGGACAGCCAAUGGCCGUGCCCUCACCAGGGCACUGAGACCAGCCAGCCCCGGCGGCAGAGCAACCACCAGGACAUGGCCAGCAGCUACCUGGUGCUGAGUGCCGCCAACUGGAAGAGCCACAAGCCCUACGCCUGCAAGGACACGCACGAGACUGGCUCCACUGAGAAGGUCCUGAAGAGAUCCAAGUGCUCCUAA